GAAUAGAGAAGGGAAAUUAGAAUAGGAUGAAUGACAGAAAGCAGAGGAAACCAGGACAGAAUGAUGGGUAAUUGUUCAUUGAUAUCAUCCGAGCUGAAGAUGGGCUCCAAGUAAAGCCAAGAGCCCUGACAUAAAAGCCACUCCUCCAACACAUCCUGCAAGCAUCACAAGAGGGCAAUGACACAGCAUGAGUACUUCAAAUGCCUUCUUAUAGGGGGAGAAGGACAUACUUUGUGUCAUGACAAUGUGGUCAUCUAGAAGCUGCAAUGCUUCAUCUGGACUCUUCAGGAUAGCCUGAGUGUGGAGACAGAUUGACAAAGUUUCACUCUCUGAAAAUGGGAAUUAGCCAGCUGUGUUACAGUAUAUUUCCAAGUGUAUCCCACCCCUUCUCAAAUGCUACUACCUAAAACAUAAAUAACAAAGAUACCUGUUC